rnacentral:lncRNA from 12 species
GGCAGCAGACGCCCGAGUUGCGGUUCUGUCUUUGAAAAUCAGUCUUGCCAUCUCACAAAGAACAGUGUGAAAUUGAACUUGCAAUUAAAAAAUAAGCCUCGGUGGUUCCCCUCCUCCCCAUAAGCUCUUCUACACAACCAAAUUGAGGGUCAUCAGGAAACAGAAGGAAGAGAAUGCCGUAAGAUUUCAAAGAUGCCUGGAACCAAAUACUGAGGUGUACCCAAGCAGCUCCAGGUGACCACCUGCAUCAUUAUAAAGAUACCACUGACUGUGGCGCCGGAAACAGAACAUUCCAUUCUCCGCGUACAGGUAAUCUUGUGUUCCUCCUUGCAUUAGCAAAUCCUCUAACACCUUUUUGAAUUCAACA